rnacentral:rRNA from 1 species
ACAGGGGGGGGCAAGCGUUGUUCGGAAUUACUGGGCGUAAAGGGCCAGUAGGCGGCCAACUAAGUCACACGUGAAAUCCCCAGGCUCAACCUGGGAACUGCGUGUGAUACUGGAUGGCUUGAAUUCGGGAGAGGGAUGCAGAAUUCCAGGUGUAGCGGUGAAAUGCGUAGAUAUCUGGAGGAAUACCGGUGGCGAAGGCGGCAUCCUGGACCGACAUUGACGCUGAACGGCGAAAGCUAGGGGAGCAAACGGGA